UGUGGUAUCGUCUUGACUUGCCUUAUCUGUCUCAUAGGUAGAUGUGGCAUCUUCUCUGGAAGUACUCUUCCUCCAUCCAGGGGUGGUAUCUGUAACUGGUGGAGAUGCACAAGGUAAUGUAUCAAUUUCACUUGAAGCUUACUUGUAGUUUCAAGCUUGGUCAAGCGCGAUACAAACCAUGUAGUAGGAGUCCCCCAAGUCGCCGAGCUAGGGGAUCUGCUGAAAGAGGUGACAGACAAGGUAAGCAAUCAGAGCUCCGGCUGAUUGUUCACAUUCUCCCUAUCUUGCAGGCAGCA
rnacentral:lncRNA from 1 species